UAUUGCGCAAUGGACGAAAGUCUGACGCAGCAACGCCGCGUGAGUGAAGAAGGCCUUUGGGUUGUAAAGCUCUUUCGCCCCCCCCCGACGGGUGAGGGUGUUAAUAGCAUUUUCAUUUGAUGGUACCGGAAGAAGAAGCACCGGCUAACUUCGUGCCAGCAGCCGCGGUAAUACGAAGGGUGCGAGCGUUGUUCGGAAUUACUGGGCGUAAAGGGUUUGUAGGCUGAAAUGUAAGUCAAGUGUGAAAUCCCCGAGCUAAACUUGGGACGUGCAUUUGAAACUGUGUUUUUUGAGUAUUGUAGAGGGUGGUGGGAUUGUAGGUGUAGGAGUGACAUCCGUAGAGAUCUGCAGGAACAUCAGAGGCGAAGGCGACCACCGGCCGAUUACUGACGCGAGGAACGAAA
rnacentral:rRNA from 1 species